rnacentral:misc_RNA from 1 species
GAUGAAGAACGUAGCGAAAUGCGAUACUUGGUGUGAAUUGCAGAAUCCCGUGAACCAUCGAGUCUUUGAACGCAAGUUGCGCCCGAAGCCAUCAGGUUGAGGGCACGUCUGCCUGGGCGUCACAUAUCGUUGCUCGAUGCCUAUCGCAUUGCGAUAGGACUUAGGGCGAAUGAUGGCUUCCCGUGAGCGUUGUUGCCUCGCGGUUGGUUGAAAAUCGAGUCCUUGGUAGGGUGUGCCAUGAUAGAUGGUGGUCGAGUAAGCACGAGACCGAUCAUGUGCAUGCUCCCCAAAAUAUGGCCUCUGUGACCCACACGCGUCUUUUGACGCUCAUGACGAGACCUCAGGUCAGGCGGGGCUACCCGCUGAAUUUAAGCAUAUCAAUAAGCGGAGGA